rnacentral:hammerhead_ribozyme from 1 species
GCACUGCUGACGAGUCCCUGACAGGACUAAACAGCUGUCCAGUAC